rnacentral:snoRNA from 1 species
GCGCAUGUGAUGUAAACAUCAUUUUGAUCUGAAUGUCUGAUGCAUUCAAAGGAACCACUGAUGCCA